rnacentral:rRNA from 1 species
UAGGGAAUCUUCCGCAAUGGACGCAAGUCUGACGGAGCAACGCCGCGUGAGCGAAGAAGGUUUUCGGAUCGUAAAACUCUGUUGUUAGAGAAGAACAAGUGCUAGAGUAACUGUUAGCGCCUUGACGGUAUCUAACCAGAAAGCCACGGCUAACUACGUGCCAGCAGCCGCGGUAAUACGUAGGUGGCAAGCGUUGUCCGGAUUUAUUGGGCGUAAAGCGAGCGCAGGCGGUUCCUUAAGUCUGAUGUGAAAGCCCCCGGCUCAACCGGGGAGGGUCAUUGGAAACUGGGGAACUUGAGUGCAGAAGAGGAGAGUGGAAUUCCAUGUGUAGUGGUGAAAUGCGUAGAUAUAUGGAGGAACACCAGUGGCGAAGGCGACUCUCUGGUCUGUAACUGACGCUGAGGCUCGAAAGCGUGGGUAGCAAACAGGAUUAGAUACCCUGGUAGUCCACGCCGUAAACGAUGAGUGCUAAGUGUUGGAGGGUUUCCGCCCUUCAGUGCUGCAGUUAACGCAUUAAGCACUCCGCCUGGGGAGUACGACCGCAAGGUUG